GAGUUUGAUCCUGGCUCAGGAUAAACGCUGGCGGCGCACAUAAGACAUGCAAGUCGAACGAACUUAAUUCAUUCUUUUAGAUUGGAAGCGGUUAGUGGCGGACUGGUGAGUAACGCGUGAGCAACCUGCCUAUUAGAGGGGAAUAACAGUGAGAAAUCACUGCUAAUACCGCAUAAGCUGAUAGUACUGCGUGGUACAGUCAGAAAAGGAGCAAUCCGCUAAUAGAUGGGCUCGCGUCUGAUUAGCUAGUUGGUAGGGUAACGGCCUACCAAGGCGACGAUCAGUAGCCGGACUGAGAGGUUGAACGGCCACAUUGGGACUGAGAUACGGCCCAGACUCCUACGGGAGGCAGCAGUCGGGAAUAUUGCGCAAUGGAGGAAACUCUGACGCAGUGACGCCGCGUAUGGGAAGAAGGUUUUCGGAUUGUAAACCAUUGUCGUUAGGGAAGAAGAAGUGACAGUACCUAAGGAGGAAGCUCCGGCUAACUAUGUGCCAGCAGCCGCGGUAAUACAUAGGGAGCAAGCGUUAUCCGGAUUUAUUGGGUGUAAAGGGUGCGUAGACGGGAAUUUAAGUUGGUUGUGAAAUCCCUCGGCUCAACUG
rnacentral:rRNA from 1 species